rnacentral:rRNA from 1 species
CGCGUAGGUGGUUUGUUAAAUUGGAUGUGAAAGCCCCGGGCUCAACCUGGGAACUGCAUCCAAAACUGGCAAGCUAGAGUACGGUAGAGGGUGGUGGAAUUUCCUGUGUAGCGGUGAAAUGCGUAGAUAUAGGAAGGAACACCAGUGGCGAAGGCGACCACCUGGACUGAUACUGACACUGAGGUGCGAAAGCGUGGGGAGCAAACA